rnacentral:rRNA from 1 species
GAAACUUAAAGGAAUUGGCGGGGGAGCACCACAACGGGUGGAGCUUGCGGUUUAAUUGGAUUCAACGCCGGAAAUCUUACCGGGACCGACAGCGAUAUGAAGGCCAGGCUGAAGACUAUGCCGGAUUAGCUGAGAGGUGGUGCAUGGCCGUCGUCAGUUCGUACUGUGAAGCAUCCUGUUAAGUCAGGCAACGAGCGAGACCCACGCCCACAGUUGCCAGCGUACUAUCCGGAGUGAUGGGUACACUGUGGGGACCGCCGCUGCUAAAGCGGAGGAAGGAAUGGGCAACGGUAGGUCAGUAUGCACCGAAUAUCCCGGGCUACACGCGAGCUACAAUGGUUGGUACAAUGGGUAUCUACCCCGAGAGGGGAUGGCAAUCUCCUAAAACCAAUCUUAGUUCGGAUUGAGGGCUGCAACUCGCCCUCAUGAAGCUGGAAUCCGUAGUAAUCGCGUUUCAACAGAACGCGGUGAAUACGUCCCUGCUCCUCGCACACACCGCCCGUCAAACCACCCGAGUAGGGUCUGAAUGAGAGCGCUUACCAAUCGGAGGCGUUCGAAUUUGGGCUUUGCAAGGGGGGUUAAGUCGUAACAAGGUAACCAAGGGCGAAU